GUGAGCUCACAUCCGGCUGGGCUCCGUCACCGCCCCUCAGGCCUGCGGGGGGGGGCUCCGGCUACAGGGACCCUGCCAGGCUGCAGCCCCCGGCCAAAGCCCCGCCCCCGGCCAGGCUGUGGCGCGCGGGACACCCAGCCCGCGGGGGCGGGACUGGCGAGCUAGAGCAGGCGGCCCCAUGACAUACACCCCCACACACCUCCCCUCUGGAGGCGGGAUUAGCCCCUUCCCCGAACCGAACCCCUGGGAAAGCCGGGGAGUGUUGCCAGCUCGCCUGUCCUGGCCCCCUGUGGGGUCGUUCUGAAAGCCCCGGCUCCUGGAGUCCUGUGAUGAGGGAAGGCUCUCAGCUUUCAUUGCAAAAAGGGGUCUGGCCCUGGGGGCGGCUGAGACAAGCUGGGGAAGGUGACCCUUGAAAGCUCAAAAGGGGAGAGGAUGGAGCAGAGAGAUUACAACGCACCUAACAACGUCCUUCCGCCAGCCUUAGGAGGGACUGUAACACUAACAAUACCUCUCACCAGUCCCCAGCAAGACAGGAUGAAGAGACUUUAACAGUCAGCAAAAUUUCCCUUCUCUCUGGGGAUUGAGGAUUCUGUAACUCUCUUUUACUCCUUUUUUCCCUCUCAGAGUGCCCCUUCUGCUUCUGCUAGUCUUUGCAAUGAGGAACAAAAAAGCAGCAGCGACUGGUCUCCACAGCACCAUUUAUAACUCUUGUACAACCUGUAUUGUCUGACAUCUGAAUGAAAAUAAGAUCUACAGCUUCAGAAUGUGGAGAAGGGUGCAGUUUCCCUGGCAUGAAAUAUCUGAUACAUUUUCAGAGAGACAAGGUGGGUGAGGUAAUGUCAUUUAUUGAACCAACUUCCAAUAUUACUUCUUUAGUAUUCUGGGACCAACACAGCUACAGCAAAUUUUCAGAGGGUCAUUUUGCCCCUUUUUCCCUUAUUUUAACUGUUUAACAUAACAGUGAAAGACGUAUUUUUCAUACUAGUUCUCUUUCUGGCUUUAUUCGAUAUUUAUUAAUCUCUUCUUCCUGGGUGUUGUAGGUCUGAAACGCCUAAACCAUGUUUUCAGCCACAAUAGAGAUAAGAAUAGUCAUAGUAUAUAACAACUAAAGUCAUACAAGGACACUACACGCUCUAGGAUAUAAAUACCGGGAAACCCCAGAGAGUUGCAGCCUUGGCCAGCAAGUAAUUCUAGGACUCUUUCUUUGGGAAAUGUUUCUUUGAUGCAUACCAAUGGCACAGUUCUUUGCUCUUUAGAAGUACCAUGACAAGGCAGGAAAAGCUCUCUUGAGUCAGGAUGCCUCCUCACUGGGAACUGCUAUAUCCCCAUCUUUUCUUUGCUUCUAAAGAUGCUUCAGCGUUUAGAAGAAAUACAUUCACUCCAGUCUCUCAAGCUUUUCUAGUUUGCUAGAAAUUCAUUUAGACUUAUUCCUUUUUCUCAUUUAGCUCAAGUGAUCGAGAUCCUGGAUUUCUGAGCAGUAGAUCUAAGUUCUGUCCCCACUGAGCUUUAUAUUGUCCCAUCAUUGAUCAUGAUGAACCUUUUUUUCUGUUCCAGCAGAAUGGGAGACUCAGGCCAUGUCUACACUAUACAUUUUUGUUAGUAUAGCUGUGUUGGUUGGUGUGUGCAGAGGUGUGAUUCCUGACCCUCUUAGUUGAAGACUCUCUUUAGCCUCCAAGAUUAAGCUGUAUUUCAUCCCUCCCAUCCUAUUAUCUCUUCACUAGAGAUCAUGAGAAGUGGUCUUUAUGCCGGUGACGGGCUGACAGACUCCAGAGAGCUGACUUCAGGCUUGCGUAUCAUGCAGAAUCAUCUGAACAUUUUAUGUGUGACUUGUUUUAUACAGUAUUGUUAUUUAGACUCCCAGUUUAAUUCUAGGCACAUAAACAAAAUAGUUCUCUUCGGGGAUGCAUCACUUGAUCUGUGAGUGAAUAUUGCAGGAUAGCACAGAAACAUUUUGGCUGGGUUUUUAUCUAAAAACAGCACUUCUGUGCUAAAUGAACUAGGACUGAUAAGCUUCACUUAGGGAGAAGGAGCCACCUGAAACUUGUUUUAAACAGACUGGUUGCCUUUCAUACAGUCAACUUUCUCUAUUCAUUACAGGAGAAAACGGCGCUUCAUAGCCUCUAGGUGGCAGUGGUUCUUUACCAUUACUAAUCAUUACCAGGAACAGAAGUGCUUAUCCAUAUUGUCUCUCCCUCCCUGAGAAGUGUUGUCAUGAUAUGCUCUAGGGCUAAUCUACACUACCUGCCCGGAUCGGCGGGUAGAAAUCGAUCUCUCGGGGAUCGAUUUAUCGCGUCUCAUCUAGACGGAUGAAUCGAUCCCCAAAUUGAUGCAUGUACUCCCACCUUGUCAGGAGGAGAAAGCGCUGUCGACGGGGGAGCCGUGGCGGUCGAUUUGCCGCCAUCCUCACAGCGGGGUAAGUCGAAUAGGUUGAAAUUUGCGUAGCUGAAUUUGCGUAUCUUAAAUCGAUUUCCCCCUCCCCCCCCCAGUGUAGACCUAGCCCUAGUGUUACCAGCCUUACCAGACAGCUAUAUUUGGAAAUGCCUCAUAGCUCCCCAGAAGGCCAAAAUCUAAAAAAUUAAGUUCCAUGCUUGUUUGAAGAGAUGUAGGAUGAAAUGUAUUGCUGUGAACAGAGAACCAAACCUUCAAUUCCUGUAUUCCUAAUUAGCAUUUGGAAAGGAUGAAUUCAAUUACUGGCAUCUCCUCAAAAUUUGGUUAGAGAAUGCUUUCCACAAGCUCUAUACCCUUCCAAAACAUGAAUAAUUCACCAGUUCCUGUGGUUUUGGCUCAAUUUUCCUUCCUAGGAUGGAAUGAGUCGCUGUCUCAGUAAGGAAUCACUUCUACUGUCAGUACUACUGGUAGGUGGUAUAAACUGUUCUAGUGCCUAACUAUGAAAGUCGUAUUGGGAAAAGGAUGAAAAAUCCCUUGUCAAAUGCAUGAGCGCAUGCUGAUUCAAUUAAUUACCCAGGAUUGAAAUUCUGUUGGAGAGAGAAAGAGAUGAAUUAGUUACCAGUUAACCUGAGGUAGCAGGUGUUGCUAAAUACAUGACUCAAUGCUGGUAGAUGGGCGUUGGCUGGUGGCUGUAAAGCUUGAGCCAAAGUAAUGGUAAUCCCUUGGACAGAAGAUUGAUGUAUGAGCUGUUUAGGGAUAAGCACAGGUUGGAGAAGGGCUAUGAGAUAGCAGCAAGGUAGCCAAGUUUAACUGAUUUACUGCCUCAAAUCCUAUGCAUCAAAGCAAACUUAGAACAGCAACAUUUGAAUACAAACUUUCAAACACCACCCUCUUUCCCGCCCCCCCCCCCCUCCAAAAAAAGUUUCAGUGUCCAAAUCUGGAGUCUUGGUUCAGCCUAUCAUAGAGGCCAGCCACAAAAUUUGGCUCCAAACCCAAGUCUGAAUUCCAAACCCAACACCACCAAAGUUUAUGGAUGUUCAGGUUUGGGAGGACAGGGGCUGGUUCAGGCCCACCUCUAGGAUAACUGUUGAUGGUCUGCCAUUGGAUCCCUGGGAGACCCCGUGCAAGAGAGAGCUAGUCACCUGGGAUGCCUGUUUGCCUUGGGGAUGCUGCUUCUUGACUUGUUAUAUUGAAAUAGAAGCCCAUAUUUUGAUCCUAAUCUCCAUAACUUUCUGCCAAUAAACAGGGGGGGUUUUAAGCAGAAAUUUACAUGCAAUUUCACCUCCCACACAGUCCAGUCACCCCACCUGCUUCAUCUUGUGCAGUAACUAAUAAAAGAACAGCUGCCAUGGCUACUGUCGCUAUAUAAACUCAGGGGAAAGCUCUUCAGAUUUUAAGGCAUGCCUAGAGCAGAUGAUUAAACAACAUUUUAUUUAUUACAGAGAAGCCAUAAAUUAGAGCAGAAACAUACCAUGCCUCUGUGUGGGUUUCAGGUUUACAAGUAUGUACUUCAAAAAUAAUUGAAAUAUGGGUAAAACAGCAAAGGAGUGAGAGAAUAAGCAGGGUAGAACUCUGGGUGGAACCCUCAUUAUUAAAUCUAGUUAUAAUUAAUCUAGUAACGGCCGCAUGUAGUUUUCUAUGUAAUAGUACACUGGUCAGAGAUGACGUGUUUAGAGAACCUUUUCAACCCAUUUCCAGGCAUUCUCAUUUCCAGUAGUCUCAUCAGCAUUCCAAGGAAAUAUCCUCUAGAAAGGCAGAUUUGCAAUAGUGGUGAUGAUGUUUGCUGUAGCAGCCAAACAUCAAGGUCAUCGGAAAGAUUCUACAGACCUACUAAAGUGUUGACCUUUUGUCUUGAAAACGGUUGACUUUUAGAAUUGUUAUGGUGUAUAUCUCUUGCAAUUCUUUAUGCGUCUGAAAAAUACAUUUUUAUUGUUCUGCAGAGCUCCCAGUCACAUAUUGGGUUAUUGUUUUAAAUGCUGAGUAAAUAACAUUCCUUUGCUUUUGCAUUAUUCUCCUCCGGCUGCUUUCCUACCCCCACCGCCUUCCAUAAAAUGCCUGAUCCCAUGCUCUCUAAAUUCAGUGGAAAUAUGCUGGUUGGCUUUAAUGGCAGACAGGUUAGGUCCAAGGUAAGCAUUAAGGAUUUCACCUCUCUUUAAUUAUUGCUUCCCCAGUCUAGAGAAGUGUCACCAGCAUUUCAUUCCUGCCACUUCCACUUGCUAAAAAGUCAAUGGUUUCAGAGUAGCAGCCGUGUUAGUCUGUAUCCACAAAAAGAACAGGAGUACUUGUGGCACCUUAGAGACUAACAAAUUUAUUAGAGCAUAAGCUC